UACGUAGGGUCCAAGCGUUAUCCGGAAUUACUGGGCGUAAAGCGUGCGUAGGUGGCGCGUUAAGUGAGAUGCGAAAUCCUGUGGCUCAACCAUAUGGACUGUAUCUCAUACUGGCGUGCUGGAGGACGGCAGAGGCAAGUGGAAUUACCGGUGUAGCAGUGAAAUGCGUAGAUAUCGGUAGGAACACCAAUGGCGAAGGCAGCUUGCUGGGCCGUUUCUGACGCUGAGGCACGAAAGCGUGGGGAGCGAACAGG
rnacentral:rRNA from 1 species